AUACAAUAUUCCGGCCUUUUUAUAGACUAAAUCUAAAAAGGGACGUCUUUCCGGACGGAAUUUCCAGUUACACGAUGGUACCACUUUGGAUACUACUGCAAUUUGAUUAUUUAAUGCUGCCGGACCUAUCCUAUUACAAGUGAAUUACUUAGGCAAAUCGAAAGCAGAAUCUACACCACACUGUUUCUAAAGAAGUGAUAUUCCAGGAUUUAGGAUUACAAGGGUAACGAAAGGUACCAAUGAGCUUGCCGUUAUUUGGAUGUACCAGUGGUAAGUGGAUCAGCAAAUGUUAUCGGUUAUGGAAAUAAAAUCCCGCAGAUGUAUUUGGGAUUCUUUAUACUGAAAUACAAAAAAAUUUCAAUCUCUUUGAAUAGAAUGUGCAAUACAGACUACAUUCGUAUAAUGGUCUGAGAUUAUAUAAAUUAAUGAUCAAAUACAAUGGAUUAUAUAAAUUUAAUGAUCAAAUACAAUGAUCAUGGCAUUAUGGAUAUUUUUAAUAUGCCUAAAAUGAUGUCGCCACCAAUGGAUUACGAGUAAUAAAAGUUACCAAGUAAAGUAAUACAAGUUACAAGUAACCAAAUAAUCGAGCACCCAGGAAGACCAUUUGGUCCUACGUUCAGAUAACGAUGGAUGGAUAACAAUUAUUCUUAUUAUUAAAUAAGACUCGGAUAUUUCUAUGUGCCAAAAAUCGAUGUCAACUUCAAUGGAUUAAAAUCAAUUUCCCUGCUUUCCACACAGCCGAGUUUUUAUGAUGAAAAUUAGAGGCGCCGCAGAAGAAAACUGGUUCCGAAAAAUCGUCUGACACCAAGCGACCCCGGGAAGAGGGGAAAGAAAGAGGGGUAGGAAAAGGAAGAACAAUACAGAGAACCUAUCAUCAUGCUUUGAGGAAGAAAACUCGAACGGACGGAGAUCUGUUGCCAUGCGUCCGUAAAGAUGGUUUCCGAUACUGACUGAAA